AUUGAACGCUGGCGGCAGGCCUAACACAUGCAAGUCGAGCGAGCGGCGGACGGGUGCGUAAUGUCUAGGAAACUGCCUGAUGGAUGGGGAUAACUACUGGAAACGGUAGCUAAUACCGCAUACCAUCAGAUGUGCCCAGAUGGGAUUAGCUAGGAGGUGGGGUAACGGCUCACCUAGGCGACGAUCCCUUGCUGGUCUGAGAGGAUGAUCAGCCACACUGGAACUGAGACACGGUCCAGACUCCUACGGGAGGCAGCAGUGGGGAAUAUUGGACAAUGGGCGAAAGCCUGAGGGAGCAAUGCCGCGUGUGUGAAGAAGGCCUUCGGGUUGUAAAGCACUGUCAGCGGGGAGGCGGUACCGGCAGAAGAAGCACCGGCUAACUCCGUGCCAGCAGCCGCGGUAAUAC
rnacentral:rRNA from 1 species